rnacentral:rRNA from 1 species
CGGUAAUUCCAGCUCCAAUAGCGUAUACUAAAGUUGUUGCAGUUAAAAAGCUCGUAGUUGGAUUUCUGCGGGGACGGAGCGGCCGGUCGCAACUUGCGACUCGAGCUAGCGCUUUCCCCGCAUCCUGCCGCGAACCGUGUUACCAUUAGUUUGGUGGCGCUGGGGAUCGGCUCGAUUACUUUGAGAAAAAUAGAGUGUUCAAAGCAGGCCACACGCCUUGAAUAAGUUAGCAUGGAAUAAUGACUAAGGACUUCGGUUCUAUUUUGUUGGUGUUCGGGACUGAAGUAAUGAUUGAUAGGGACAGUUGGGGCGGUCUGUAUUCCAAAGCGAGAGGUGAAAUUCUUAGACCUUCGGAAGACAAACAGCUGCGAAAGCGUUCCGCAAGGAUGUUCCCUUUGAUCAAGAGCGAAAGUUGGGGGAUCGAAGACGAUCAGAUACCGUCGUAGUCUCAACUAUAAACUAUACCAGCUAGGGAUCGGUCAACGUUUAAUUAUUCGACUUGAUCGGCACCUUAUGAGAAAUCAAAGCAUCUGGGUUCCGGGGGGAGUAUGGUCGCAAGGCUGAAACUUAAAGGAAUUGACGGAAGGGCACCACCAGCCGUGGAGCCUGUGGCUUAAUUUGACUCAACACGGGAAAACUUACCAGGUCCAGACAUAGUAAGGAUUGACAGAUUGAUAGCUCUUUCUUGAUUCUGUGGGUGGUGGUGCAUGGCCGUUCUUAGUUGGUGGAGUGAUUUGUCUGGUUAAUUCCGUUAACGAACGAGACCUCAGCCUGCUAAAUAGCGCGGCUGAGCUUUGCUCGGUGCGAGCUUCUUAGAGGGACUAUGAUGCGCGAUAGCACAUGGAAGUUUGGGGCAAUAACAGGUCUGUGAUGCCCUUAGAUGUUCUGGGCCGCACACGGGCUACACUGGCGCCUGCAACGAGCAUAUCAGCUGGCCCGAGAGGGUCUUGGCUAAUCUUUUGAACCGGCGCCGUGCUUGGGAUUGACCUUUGCAAUUGUUGGUCAUGCAACGAGGAAUGCCUUGUAAACGCGAGUCAUCAGCUCGCAUUGAAUACGUCCCUGCCCCUUGUACACACCGCCCAAGGGCGAAUUUCUGCA